rnacentral:lncRNA from 1 species
UACAGGGUGUCCCAAAAAACCCGAAAACUAUUGAAAUCACUUAUUGUUAAAUUUGAAUGCCCUACCAAACAGCUGGACGUAAUGAUGCGUAAAAUAUUGACAAGGCGCAUGUAUUAGAAUUUAGUUAGGAAUAUCUCCUGGCAAAGUGCGCGAUUUUCUGCUCCUGGGAAUUAAAAACAGCUUCUUAAACAGUUUCUUUAUGCAUAAAAUUUACUUAUGUCAAUCAUUUAUGCACUCGUGGGAACCAACAGAGUGCUAAGGCAUUCAAAUUCUAACAAUCAAAUUGUUAUUGGUGAUUUCAAUAGUUUUCGGUUUUUUUGGGACACCCUGUA